rnacentral:rRNA from 1 species
GAACGGCAGCACGGGAGCAAUCCUGGUGGCGAGUGGCGAACGGGUGAGUAAUACAUCGGAACGUGCCCAGUAGUGGGGGAUAACCCGGCGAAAGCCGGACUAAUACCGCAUACGACCUACGGGUGAAAGCGGGGGAUCGCAAGACCUCGCGCUAUCGGAGCGGCCGAUGUCAGAUUAGCUUGUUGGCGGGGUAAAAGCCCACCAAGGCGACGAUCUGUAGCUGGUCUGAGAGGACGACCAGCCACACUGGGACUGAGACACGGCCCAGACUCCUACGGGAGGCAGCAGUGGGGAAUUUUGGACAAUGGGCGCAAGCCUGAUCCAGCCAUGCCGCGUGCGGGAAGAAGGCCUUCGGGUUGUAAACCGCUUUUGUCAGGGAAGAAAAGCACCGAUCUAAUACAACGGUGUCAUGACGGUACCUGAAGAAUAAGCACCGGCUAACUACGUG